GACGAACGCUGGCGGCGUGCUUAACACAUGCAAGUCGAACGGAAAGGCCCAGCUUGCUGGGUGCUCGAGUGGCGAACGGGUGAGUAACACGUGGGUGAUCUGCCCCUAACUUCGGGAUAAGCUUGGGAAACUGGGUCUAAUACCGGAUAGGACAAUCGUUUAGUGUCGGUUGUGGAAAGUUUUUUCGGUUAGGGAUGAGCCCGCGGCCUAUCAGCUUGUUGGUGGGGUAAUGGCCUACCAAGGCGUCGACGGGUAGCCGGCCUGAGAGGGUGGACGGCCACAUUGGGACUGAGAUACGGCCCAGACUCCUACGGGAGGCAGCAGUGGGGAAUAUUGCACAAUGGGCGCAAGCCUGGUGCAGCGACGCCGCGUGGGGGAUGACGGCCUUCGGGUUGUAAACCUCUUUCGACAGGGACGAAGCUUUGGUGACGGUACCUGUAUAAGAAGCACCGGCUAACUACGUG
rnacentral:rRNA from 1 species